GUAAGGAAUAUUGGUCAAUGGACGCAAGUCUGAACCAGCCAUGCCGCGUGGAGGAUGAAGGUCCUCUGGAUUGUAAACUUCUUUUAUCUGGGACGAAAAAAGGUUUUUCUAGACCGACUGACGGUACCAGAUGAAUAAGCACCGGCUAACUCCGUGCCAGCAGCCGCGGUAAUACGGAGGGUGCAAGCGUUAUCCGGAUUCACUGGGUUUAAAGGGUGCGUAGGUGGAUUAGUAAGUCAGUGGUGAAAUCUCCGGGCUUAACCCGGAAACUGCCAUUGAUACUAUUAGUCUUGAAUACCGUGGAGGUCAGCGGAAUAUGUCAUGUAGCGGUGAAAUGCUUAGAUAUGACAUAGAACACCAAUUGCGAAGGCAGCUGGCUACACGAAUAUUGACACUCAGGCACGAAAGCGUGGGGAUCAAACAGGAUUAGAAACCCGGGUAGUCC
rnacentral:rRNA from 1 species